AUGAAGACUCUGCUGCAAGUCCUCAUGGGGAUACUGGAGCUGCAGGCAGCCUGGAUCAGCAGCCAAAAACUGGAGCAGAGUUCACAGUCCCUGAACAUCCAAUUCAUCCCAGAGGGAAAAAAAUUCACCAUAAACUGCAAUUCAUCAAAGACUGUCUAUGCCUUCCACCAGUACAGGCAGAAGUAUAGCGAAGGCCCCAUCUCCUUGUUGAUAACGUUAUGGAAAAGCAGGGAAGAAAAGAGUCAUGAAAAAAUGACUGCCAAGUUGGACGAGAAAAAGCAGCGAAGUGCCCUGCACAUCACAGCCCUUCUGACCAGCCACUCAGGCAUCUACUUCUGUGGCGCCCAUGCACAGCGAUCUCCAGGCCUCUGCAGGCUGUCCCCAAAUGUGCAGCUAGGCCACAGAUCUCUCCUGACACAGGGCUCCUGGCGGGUGUGGCUGGGACACUUGCCAAGAGAAGCCUAA